GUCAACAGCCACCCAGGAGCCCCACCUCCAUUCUUAAUAUUAUUGUCCCCUAUCCUACAUGACUAUGAGGGUAACAUUCUCUGUUUAUCUUGCUUUAGGUUUGUUGAGUUUCGUGAACUAUAAAUUAUUGUUUUCCAUGAAAUUUGAGGAAGUUUGGGCCAUUAUUUCUUCAAAUACUUUUUCUGAUUUUUUUCUCUUCCCUUUCCUUAUGGAAUUCCACUUCUGUAUGUUAGAUUGCUUCGGAAUGCCCCAGAAGUUUUUGAGGUUUUGUUCAUUUUUCUUUAAUCUCCUCCCCCCACCAUUCUUAUAUUUAUGUAAUUUCUAUUGAUCCUUUUUCGAAUUCACUAAUUAUCUCUUACUCCAUUUCUGAUCUUUUGUUAAACCCAUCUAGCAGUUUUUUAAAUUUUAGUUACUUUAUUUUUCAGGUCUAGAACUUAAUUUUUAUAUAGUUACCACUUCCCUGUCAAGAAAUAUUUGAAUAUAUUUUCUUUCAAUGUUUAAAAAAAUUUUUUUUUAACGUCUGUUUUUGAGAGACAGAAAGAGACAGAGCAUGAGCAGAGGAAGGGCGGAGAGAGAGAGAGGGAGACACAGAAUCUGAAGCAGGCUCCAGACUCCAAGCUGUCAGUACAGAGUCUGACACAGGGCUCGAACUCACGAAACUCAAGAUCAUGACCUGAGCCAAAGUCGGAGGCUUCAUGGACUGAGCCACCCAGUUUCAGACUCCUUCCUCUGUCCCAACACUACAGUGAUCAAAUCAUGACCAUAGAGACCGAGAAAAAUAUUCAAGAUAUUGGAGACUCCAUGGAAACUUUUUUCUCUUGUGCAGAUUGCUAAUUCUCCAUGGAAACAGUUUAAUUUUUUUCAACAAACAUUCACUGGCCUAUGAUAAGGUAACCAUACUUUGCCGUGAAGAGAAUUUUGCCUACAAUUUAUUGUAUACAUUCAAAGUCUAUCAUAUGAUGACAUCAAUAAAGUGCCCCAGAGUUGAGAAUA